rnacentral:rRNA from 1 species
GGCGUGCGUGCUGUGCGGUGGUUGGCCCGCGCGGCUAUGGGGUGGGGGAGGGGAGCGGCUUGCCCUGUCGUUCUCUCAUUCGUCUCCUUCUCUCCUCCACUCCCCAUCGCGCCCCUCUCCUCAGCCGCCACCGCCAUCGCCGGGAGGGGCCGCCGCUCGCGUCGCUUUCCGCAGCCGCCACAGCCCCCUCCCCUUCCAAACCCACCGAGAUGACGGCGUCGGCACUGGCGCUCGCGGUGGUCGGGUGGCUUGCUCGCGCUCGCGAAGGCCGAGGUGGUCGCACUGCUCUGGGUCGUGCGCCGCCUCCAUCGCCGGCAGGAGGGGGCCGCAGAGGCCGCCGCGCAGCCCAGCGACCAGGAGCUCCCCGGUGAGCAGCCGUUCCGCUUCGCCCUCUGCCUCGCCCUCUUUGCCGUCCUCACUCCAUCCUCUUCUAUGUUUUCUGGAUUUGCCGUCGUCGCCUUCUCCGCUCCCAAGAUAGCCUCGCUCUCCUCCUUGGUGCCCAACGGGAGAGGCAGCGGACGAAAGUCGAUGACGCCGCCCCCCUCCUCCACGGCAGCGCCUUCGUCCCCGACGACACCCAGCAGCAGCUCACUCCCGGCCCAAAACGAGGUAGCGUUCCCAAAUGUGAAGCGACAACCCGCAGAAAGAUGAGCAGGAGCAGACCAGGGAUGAAGCCAAGAUCUACGAUGGUGAUUCUUCCAAUAAAAUGAUGCAGGUGGCCAACAGCUUGAUGGUGCCGUCGAUAUUGUCUCCUCCAGCGUCAAGGAACCAGCCAAAAACGUCAUCGUCAAGCAAGCGACGCUGAGCAAAUGUCAGGUGCCAUCACGCACCAUGGUGUGGCGAUCAGAUUGGCAACGUGUUCGAUGCAGCUUACAAUGCCAAUGAUCAGUUCAUUUUUGUGGAUUGUUGUGGGGGAUUGAGGCUUUAAAGCACAUGAAUUGCAGCAGGAAUUGUUCAGGAUACUACUGUUGUUGCUACUUGGUGCGUUACCAUCACCGGGAGGAGCGACGGCCAUCCACAUCGCCAUUGCCAUCGUCCUUCAGAUGGUUUACGUCUUAACUGUCUACAACAAAAACGAUAAACAGCACCGCAUCCGGGUAACAAAGCCCGCAUCCGGGUACUAAUGUUGGUGUGAGCUCAAGGAAAACGGCAAAACCCAUUUGUAGUUUCAGCUUUACGAGGCGUUGUCAGCAAUGAUUGAUGAGAUAAUUGGUUGAGCUACUUUUGGAAGGGGCGACGGAAAUCAUAAAAACUACGAUGGCUAUGGCGAUUCAACAUAUAGAAAGAUGGAAGAGAGCACACAGUAAAUAAAACAGAGCACAAAGCAGUAGCCUUUGGAGCAGGUUACAGUUUGCACUUGGUGUUAAAGGAUUUGGAGCAGGCUAUAUCUGUGAUGACACAGAUUGGUUAUGCAGGAUCUCUUGGCUAAAUCCUUCUGCUUUAUCAUGAGGACAACAAAUAGUAACAAAUAGUGGUUACUUCUCAUCUGAGCUUGAGCUGUGGUGAAUGCGACCGAUGUUUCUACGAAGAUGUAGUUCUUUUGGUUUAUCGACUAAUAUUAUCGUAUAUAGACGUGAUGCCUGAGGCGUUUUGAAUCAGUGUCGUAGCAGACUGCCCUAUCCUUAUUGUAAAUUAUGUGUGAUCACCGACAGUCCUUCAGGUCGAUUUACCACUCCAUGGUUAUUGUAAAUUAUGAACGAAUUAUGCUGUAGUUUUAGUAUUGGUUCUUUAAUCUUCUUCGGCUGCCUGUGUUAUCC